rnacentral:rRNA from 1 species
UGAACGCUAGCGGGAGGCCUAACACAUGCAAGCCGAGCGGUAGAGUUCCUUCGGGAACUUGAGAGCGGCGUACGGGUGAGGAACACGUGUGCAACCUGCCUUUAUCUGGGAGAUAGCCCUCCGAAAGGGGGAUUAAUAUUCCAUAAUAUAUCAAUUGGCAUCAAUUGAUAUUGAAAGCUCCGGCGGAUAGAGAUGGGCACGCGCAAGAUUAGAUAGUUGGUGAGGUAACGGCUCACCAAGUCUACGAUCUUUAGGGGGCCUGAGAGGGUGAUCCCCCACACUGGUACUGAGACACGGACCAGACUCCUACGGGAGGCAGCAGUGAGGAAUAUUGGACAAUGGGUGCAAGCCUGAUCCAGCCAUCCCGCGUGAAGGAUUAAGGUCCUAUGGAUUGUAAACUUCUUUUAUACAGGGAUAAACCUACUUACGUGUAAGUAGCUGAAGGUACUGUAUGAAUAAGCACCGGCUAACUCC